UGACCGCGUAUGAAAGACGUUUCACCUCGGGUGACAGGGAGACAGGUGGUGCAUGGUUGUCGUCAGCUCGUGUCGUGAGAUGUUCGGGUUAAGUCCCGCAAACGAGCGCAACCCCUACGUUUAGUUGCUAACGCGUGAAGGCGGGCACUCUAGACGAACUGCCGUUGACAAAACGGAGGAAGUGGGGAUGACGUCAAAUCAUCAUGCCCCUUAUGUUCUGGGCUACACACGUGCUACAAUGGCCGGUACAGACGGACGCAAAGCCGCGAGGUGGAGCAAAUCCUAAAAAGCCGGUCUCAAUUCGGAUUGCAGGCUGCAAUUCGCCUGCAUGAAGUCGGAAUCGCUAGUAAUCGCAGGUCAGCAUACUGCGGUGAAUACGUUCCCGGGCCUU
rnacentral:rRNA from 1 species